rnacentral:rRNA from 1 species
GAUGAACGCUAGCGGCAGGCCUAACACAUGCAAGUCGAGGGGUAGUAAGUGCUUGCACUUAUGAGACCGGCGCACGGGUGCGUAACGCGUAUGCAAUCUACCUUGUUCAAAGGGAUAGCCCAGAGAAAUUUGGAUUAAUACCUUAUAGUAUUAUAAAAUGGCAUCAUUUAAUAAUUAAAGAUUUAUCGGAACAAGAUGAGCAUGCGUCCCAUUAGCUAGUUGGUAUGGUAACGGCAUACCAAGGCUAUGAUGGGUAGGGGUCCUGAGAGGGAGAUCCCCCACACUGGUACUGAGACACGGACCAGACUCCUACGGGAGGCAGCAGUGAGGAAUAUUGGACAAUGGGCGCAAGCCUGAUCCAGCCAUGCCGCGUGCAGGAAGACGGUCCUAUGGAUUGUAAACUGCUUUUAUACAGGAAGAAACAACUCUACGUGUAGAGUCUUGACGGUACUGUAGGAAUAAGGAUCGGCUAACUCCGUGCC